rnacentral:rRNA from 1 species
GAUGAACGCUGGCGGCGUGCCUAAUACAUGCAAGUCGAGCGAACAGACGAGGAGCUUGCUCCUCUGACGUUAGCGGCGGACGGGUGAGUAACACGUGUAUAACCUACCUAUAAGACGGGGAUAAUUUCGGGAAACCGGAGCUAAUACCGGAUAAUAUAUUGAACCGCAUGGUUCAAUAGUGAAUGACGGUUUUUCUGUCUCUUAUAGAUGGAUCCGCGCCGCAUUAGCUAGUUGGUAAGGUAACGGCUUACCAAGGCGACGAUGCGUAGCCGACCUGAGAGGCUGAUCGGCCACCCUAGAACUGAGACACCGACAAGACUACUAAGAGAGGCAGCAGUAGGGAAUCUUCCGCAAUGGGCGAAAGCCUGACGGAGCGACGCCGCGUGAGUGAUGAAGGUCUUCGGAUCGUAAAACUCUGUUAUUAGGGAAGAACAAAUGUGUAAGUAACUAUGCACGUCUUGACGGUACCUAAUCAGAAAGCCACGGCUAACUACGUG